rnacentral:lncRNA from 1 species
ACCUCUGUCUUACAGUCAUCCUGUUAAGGGGCUCUCAGGCAUUCAAGUUCUUAAGGAUUCAAAAUGACAUCCAUUCUCAAACAUGGAGAGGGCUUCAUACAAAGACAUUUGAGAGGAAUCUCAGAGGGAUGUGCAACUCCUGGGAGUAGGGAAGAGAACCACAGGGCAUCAUGGGUAAGGACUGGCAUCCAAGAAAGCAGAUGGCUGAAAGAGAAGAACAGGUUCUAAAAAGAAAAGAGGUAUGUCGCUAUGAGCAAUUUGGUUCUCAUACAGAAGAGGCAAAGACAGAGGAGGCUCAUGAACUUGAGUUAAGCCU